GAUGAAGAACGUAGCGAAUUGCGAUAUGUAAUGUGAAUUGCAGAAUUCAGUGAAUCAUCGAAUCUUUGAACGCACAUUGCGCCCCUUGGUAUUCCGGGGGGCAUGCCUGUUCGAGCGUCAUUAUAACCCCUCAAGCUCAGCUUGGUGUUGGGGCCUGCCGACUGGCAGCCCUUAAAAUCAGUGGCGGCGCCAUCUGGCUCUAAGCGUAGUAAUUUCUCUCGCUAUAGAGUCCCGGUGGAUGCUUGCCAGCAACCCCCAACUUUCUAUGGUUGACCUCGGAUCAGGUAGGGAUACCCGCUGAACUUAAGCAUAUCAAUAAGCGGAGGA
rnacentral:misc_RNA from 1 species